rnacentral:rRNA from 1 species
UACGUAGGGUGCGAGCGUUAAUCGGAAUUACUGGGCGUAAAGCGUGCGCAGGCGGUUUUGUAAGCCAGAUGUGAAAUCCCCGGGCUUAACCUGGGAAUGGCAUUUGGGACUGCAAGGCUUGAGUGCGGCAGAGGAGACUGGAAUUCCUGGUGUAGCAGUGAAAUGCGUAGAUAUCAGGAGGAACACCGAUGGCGAAGGCAGGUCUCUGGGCUGACACUGACGCUCAUGCACGAAAGCGUGGGGGCAAACGAGGAU